rnacentral:rRNA from 1 species
UACGGGGGGAGCAAGCGUUGUUCGGAUUUACUGGGCGUAAAGGGCGCGUAGGCGGUCAGCACAAGUCAGUUGUGAAAUCUCCGGGCUUAACCCGGAAAGGUCAACUGAUACUGUGCGACUAGAGUGCGGAAGGGGCAACUGGAAUUCUCGGUGUAGCGGUGAAAUGCGUAGAUAUCGAGAGGAACACCUGUGGCGAAAGCGGCUCACUGGACCACAACUGACGCUGAGGCGCGAAAGCUAGGGGAGCAAACAGG